rnacentral:rRNA from 1 species
AUUGAACGCUGGCGGCAGGCUUAACACAUGCAAGUCGAGCGAGCGGCGGACGGGUGAGUAAUGUCUGGGAAAAUGCCUGAUGGAGGGGGAUAACUACUGGAAACGGUAGCUAAUACCGCAUACCAUCAGAUGUGCCCAGAUGGGAUUAGCGAGUAGGUGGGGUAAUGGCUUACCUAGGCGACGAUCCCUAGCGGGUCUGAGAGGAUGACCAGCCACGCUGGAACUGAGACACGGUCCAGACCCCUACGGUAGGACGCAGUGGGGAAUAUUGCACAAUGGGCGCAAGCCUGAUGCAGCAAUGCCGCGUGUGUGAAGAAGGCCUUCGGGUUGUAAAGCACUUUCAGCGAGGAGUCGUUACUCGCAGAAGAAGCACCGGCUAACUCCGUGCCAGCAGCCGCGGUAAUUC